rnacentral:rRNA from 1 species
AGAGUUUGAUCCUGGCUCAGGAUGAACGCUAGCGGCAGGCUUAAUACAUGCAAGUCGAGGGGCAGCAAGGGUAGCAAUACCUGUUGGCGACCGGCAAACGGGUGCGGAACACGUACGCAACUUUCCCAAAACUGGUGAAUAGCCUUCCGAAAGGGAGAUUAAUACACCGUAAGAUGUAGGAGUGGCAUCACUCUUAUAUUAUAGCUCCGGCGGUUUUGGAUGGGCGUGCGGCUGAUUAGGUAGUUGGCGGGGUAACGGCCCACCAAGCCUACGAUCAGUAACUGGUGUGAGAGCACGACCAGUCACACGGGCACUGAGACACGGGCCCGACUCCUACGGGAGGCAGCAGUAAGGAAUAUUGGUCAAUGGACGCAAGUCUGAACCAGCCAUGCCGCGUGCAGGAAGACGGCCCUAUGGGUUGUAAACUGCUUUUGUACGGGAAGAACUACAUUUACGUGUAAAUGUUUGACGGUACCGUAAGAAUAAGGAUCGGCUAACUCCGUGCCAGCAGCCGCGGUAAUACGGAGGAUCCGAGCGUUAUCCGGAUUUAUUGGGUUUAAAGGGUGCGUAGGCGGCUCAUUAAGUCAGUGGUGAAAGGUAACCGCUUAACGGGGACACUGCCAUUGAUACUGAUGAGCUGGAGUACAGAUGAAGUGGGCGGAAUGUGUCAAGUAGCGGUGAAAUGCAUAGAUAUGACACAGAACACCAAUUGCGAAGGCAGCUCACUAAAGUGUAACUGACGCUGAGGCACGAAAGCGUGGGGAUCGAACAGGAUUAGAUACCCUGGUAGUCCACGCCCUAAACGAUGAUUACUCGAUGUUAGCGAUAUACGGUUAGCGUCAAAGCGAAAGCGUUAAGUAAUCCACCUGGGGAGUACGGUCGCAAGAUUGAAACUCAAAGGAAUUGACGGGGGCCCGCACAAGCGGAGGAGCAUGUGGUUUAAUUCGAUGAUACGCGAGGAACCUUACCUGGGCUCGAACGUAGUUGGACUAAGUGUGAAAGCAUUUAUUUCUUCGGAACUGACUACGAGGUGCUGCAUGGUUGUCGUCAGCUCGUGCCGUGAGGUGUUAGGUUAAGUCCUGCAACGAGCGCAACCCCUAUUCUUAGUUGCCAGCAUGUCAUGAUGGGGACUCUAGGAAAACUGCCUACGCAAGUAGUGAGGAAGGCGGGGAUGACGUCAAAUCAGCACGGCCCUUACGUCCAGGGCUACACACGUGCUACAAUGGCCGGUACAGAGGGCAGCUACACAGCGAUGUGAUGCGAAUCUCGAAAGCCGGUCUCAGUUCGGAUUGGAGUCUGCAACUCGACUCCAUGAAGUUGGAUUCGCUAGUAAUCGCGCAUCAGCCAUGGCGCGGUGAAUACGUUCCCGGGCCUUGUACACACCGCCCGUCAAGCCAUGGGAGCUGGGGGUACCUAAAGUUCGUCACCGCAAGGAUCGACCUAGGGUAAAACCGGUGACUGGGGCUAAGUCGUAACAAGGUAGCCGUACCGGAAGGUGCGGCUG